CAAUAAUUGCUUUCAUUUAGGUAAAUAAAUACUACAAUAUAUGUCCACUGAGAUUUUACACUACACAGAUCAGAGCUCUGAUAAAACUCAACUGACCAGCAGUUUCCCACCAUCUUAAACUCUUUGCAUGACUAAUUUACUCCACUGGUCAUUCCAACAGAUCAGGCUGUUCCAUUGAAUUAUUUUGGGGAGAGAUAACAUUAUAAAUUUCAUAUGCAGAAUUUGUGAAGGACAUCGCAAUUUUUUUUUUGUUCAGAAAUUUGUAAUGAUUUUUAAAUUCUAUAUAUAUAUCUAUUUGUUACUUGAAUUUUUGUUACAUUCAAUGAAUGGAGGUUGAGAUGAUGAGUAAAUUAACCCUGUUUUACAUAAUGAUUGACCUGUCCAUGGAGUUAUACAGUUGUGAAUUUUGAAUUCUAAGAUAUCUGGGUCAGCAAAAAGAGUGCAAAUAACAGAGAAUGUACUUAAUAUUUUAACAAUUUUGGAGAUAUACUUUUGUUUAAGAUCUCAAAGUGUUUUAGUAUUGGUAUGAUAAAUAAGUGUGAAAACAUGGGACAAGGAGAUGAACAACAUAAUCAGACUGGGAGUUAAGUGCUGACUGUGAGAUGCAAGGUGUUUCAAUAAAGAUGUGCAGUAUUAAUCCUGAAAAGGUGAGCACAACCACAAGAAGUUCUUGGAAAACACAGGCAGUGGACUUAAAACAGACAUCAAUUAAAGAAAUAGUAAUUUAAAUAAUCAGAAACAUUUGAAACAAAUUUAUGAUUGAAACACUCUCAGCAAAAAAAUUGCAAAAAAAACAAAGUGUUGGAUUCUAAGAAAACCAGUACCUACCAAAACCUGCAGGUAGAAAAAAACUGU